AGGCGAUAACUGCCGUCCUUCUCUGCUGUCUGCCCCUACCUUGGGCCCCAAAUGGCUCAGCACUAAAGUGCCUUGAGCAGGCUCCAGCCCAAAGGUGGCCUCCAUGGUUACCACUUCCCACUCUGCUGCCCUGCCUCGCUUUCCUCCUCGGCCUUCCCGGAUGGAUGACCGAUGUCAUUCCCAGGUUCCCUAACACUCAAGCCUAGCCCCUCAGUUUCUAGCAAGCAUCAAGCUUCACUGUGUGUCUAGCCUCUCAGGAGUCAGACCUGAGAAGUAUAGCUUGGUGGAAAUUCAGUGGCAGGGAAGAAAGAAGGAAGGAAAGAAGACUCUGAGCUGGAUUCAUACACAUCAUCGCAAUUCAUCCACACCACAGUCCUGUAAGGUUACAGCUUAUCACUAGCUCUGAAUACAAGAGUCCUCAAAAUGCUUUAUAAGCAACAGUAGCAUCAUGGGAAUAAGUUGGCAAGUUCCCAGCAUUACUGCUUUAGAGGCACUUGAACUUUUUCUCCAUGUAUAGAGUCAAGAAUAAGAAAAAGGAUCCAAAGGAGAAGGAGAGAAAUAAAACGGGACUGAGCCUUAUACUUCUUGACCCAGAACAGACAAUGGAGGCUGCAAAACAUACAGCAGAAAGGAUGGCUUGAAGGCAAUUGAUGUUUGUAAAAAAAUCCACAACAGGAUCCAAGCUGAAGAGGUGAACACGUCAGCCUGGUGGGACAAUUCUCAGCAUGUGCAAACAUAGGUAAAUUCUAGCCUAUGUUACAUUAAAAACAAUGUCAGUGCAUUUUUUCAUGUUAAAGUUUUUUUCAAAGCUAAAG
rnacentral:lncRNA from 10 species